ACUUGGAUAAAACUUUGUAAUUCCCCCCUUUAAUUGACACAGACCCCA
rnacentral:tRNA from 1 species